ACAUGGCUUUACCAUCUGUGGGUAGCCACAGCCUCCUACUAUAGCAAACGCCUUCAGUUCACUGUGUGAAGAGACCUGCAGAGCUUCGGAGAUGAAGGAGACAGAUUCUUAGUCUGUGAAGAGCAUUGGUCAGUUCAGAGGGACUGACUGAU